rnacentral:rRNA from 1 species
AAGUAUCAAAGCUUUUGCGGUACAGGAUGGACCCGCGUCUGAUUAGCUAGUUGGUGAGGUAACGGCUCACCAAGGCGACGAUCAGUAGCCGACCUGAGAGGGUGAUCGGCCACAUUGGAACUGAGACACGGUCCAAACUCCUACGGGAGGCAGCAGUGGGGAAUAUUGCAAGAUGGGCGAAAGCCUGAUGCAGCAACGCCGCGUGAUUAAAGGGGGCCUUCGGGUCGUAAAGCUCUGUCCUCAAGGAAGGAAUGA